rnacentral:rRNA from 1 species
GCCUAACACAUGCAAGUCGAGCGGCAGCGCGAUAUGUAGCAAUACAUAUUGGCGGCGAGCGGCGGACGGGUGAGGAACACGUAGGAACCUACCCUCGAGUGGGGGAUAACCAAGGGAAACUUUGGCUAAUACCGCAUGAUUUCGAGAGAGCAAAGUUGCCGCAAGGUGGCGCUCGAGGAGGGCCCUGCGUCCGAUUAGCUAGUUGGUGAGGUAAGAGCUCACCAAGGGGAUGAUCGGUAACUGGUCUGAGAGGACGACCAGUAACCCGGGGACUGAGAAACGGCCCAGACUCCUACGGGAGGCAGCAGUGGGGAAUAUUGGACAAUGGGGGCAACCCUGAUCCAGCGAUGCCGCGUGAGUGAAGAAGGCCUUCGGGUCGUAAAGCUCUUUAGGUUGGGAAGAAGAGUGAUGGAGGAAAUGCUAUCACUUUGACGGUACCGACAGAAUAAGCACCGGCAAACUCUGUGCCAGCCGCCGCCGUAAAAC